UACGUAGGGGGCAAGCGUUGUCCGGAAUCAUUGGGCGUAAAGAGCGUGUAGGCGGCCCGGUAAGUCCGCUGUGAAAGCCCCGGGCUUAACCCGGGAAUGGCAUUGGAUACUGCAGAUCUGGAGGAUCGGAGGGGGGACUGGAAUUCUUGGUGUAGCAGUGAAAUGCGUAGAUAUCAAGAGGAACACCAGUGGCGAAGGCGAGUCCCUGGACGAUACCUGACACUGAGGCACGAAAGCUAGGGGAGCAAACAGG
rnacentral:rRNA from 1 species